UCCAUGGUGCUUUUCAUUGGGAUGCUGGUGUUUUAAAGGCAUUAGGUUCCUGGUAUUUUAAGCGAGAAAAAUUGAUCACAUAUGUCAGCUAUUCAUAUUCAUCUGAACUGAUUAAUUUAUUUUGACUGCUGUUUCUUUCUACAGACAACAAAAUCUAUUAGGCCUACUCAUGCUGGAUUGGGCUCAGCCCGAUUACAAAACAGUAGCAAAUGAGAGGAAUACAAGAAGUCAAGAAGACCCUUCUCUCCAUGUCUUAAGUUUCACACUACCUCGCCUGGAUCCGGAAAUGCGGCUACAGUGACCUCGACAUAGUCUAGGUAGACACCCAGUGGUUAAGACUGUGUAGUGAGCCAUGCCUUUGUGAGAGGACCAAGAAAAGAAAGGCAUGUUGUACCUACCCUACAUUCACAGUCAUUAUUAGCCCAUUGUGGUACUUCAAAUCUGAUAAAGAAUAUAUUUCAUGACUGAUACAUGAGAUUUGGAGUCUCGGUUCUGAUAUGUAUGAACCUCCUUUUAUUUUGUCAUGUUGCUGAUAAUUCUGAUAUGGGACUAUUUGUUCUGUUUAUGACUUAGAAAUAAUGAAAUGGCCUAUAUGUUAAGUUAUCCUAUUUUAAUUAUAUUAUGUUGUUGAUGAUGUAUGGUUCUGGAAUUUGAAGGUUAACAUUCAGGUUGUUGGUAUCUUGAAUCUUUUUUGCUUUCUCUGAACUUGAUGCAAACAGUUUGUCCUAUCUGGCAGUAGCUCUGGCUUUUUGAAACAAAUUUUGUCAUGUGCUUUGCAAAUUAAUUAUCUUGUUGACUUAGUAUACUCAGUAUACCAUGUUUUUGAUAUAUCUCUACUGUUUGUAAUCGCCACUAAACUCAUUAGUCUUGAAAGAAUGCCAUAAUUUCCUUUGAAUGUACAAGAUUUAUACAUGGUGGGUCAUGGCACUUGGACGGGCAAUGUGCGCCAAGGCGCGCUUCGGUCUAGGGCCACAAUAACAUCAAUUGGUCAAGCUUUGUCAAGGCGGCAGGGAUCAGGGAGUAUCAGAUAUGUUCCUUUGCCUUCGAAAUUUCAAGUGCAUUGUCUAUAGAGAAAUCAUUAUAUGCCAUAUAUCUCACAGAUUGUUUGCAUCAGGUUGCCUAUGAAGCUCAUUGACAAGGCAGUUGAAUGAAGCCACUUAUUUGCAUCGGUUAUCUAUGACUAUGUAGUUCGUUCUGUUUUAUCAUGCUCAUACUCUAUCCACUGCCUCUCUCGCAUUCAAGCUUUUAGUAUCAGACUUAAUGUCAAGUGUCUUUUGUGUUCUCGUGAAUGCACUAAACUCAAUGCUUCCUUACAAUAAUGUCAUGGUGAUGUUGAACUCCAUAUUGUUGAACUCCA